rnacentral:rRNA from 1 species
AUACGUAGGGGGCAAGCGUUGUCCGGAAUUACUGGGCGUAAAGCGCACGCAGGCUGACUUAUAAGUCGGUAGUCUAAUGCGGAGGCUCAACUUCCGUUUAUCUAUCGAUACUGUAAGACUAGAGUAUGUGAGAGGGAAGUGGAAUUCCCGGUGUAGCGGUGAAAUGCAUAGAGAUCACACAGAACACCGAUUGCGAAGGCAUCUCACGAAGGGGUGAUUGACGCUGAGGCACGAAAGCGUGGGGAUCAAACAGGAUUAGAUACCCUGGUAGUCCACGCAGUAAACGAUGAUAACGAACCGCUGGGUCGUAGUGAUUCAGUGGCCAAGCGAAAGCGAUAAGUUAUCCACCUGGGGAGUACGACCGCAAGGUUGAAACUCAAAGGAAUUGACGGGG